rnacentral:misc_RNA from 1 species
UGUACAGUGCUUCUGCAGACUGAACAGAUACGAUGGACAUUUGGACAGCGGAGCUGCGGCGGGCCCACUCAUGGCUCUUGGCGGACGACACAUACCGGAAUAGUGCCAUGAAGCCUCAGCGACUCCUCGGGCACCUAGAAGGGGAUGCCGUGGUCGAGAUGAUUAAGUUUGCACCUGGCAAUUCACGUCUCACACUGGCUGCUGUUAGUCCAAAAGUGCGCUUGCUUGCCGAGCUGCUGGAAUCACGACUGCCGACGACUCUGCGCCUUCUUCUGGACGACGCCACUGUGAUGCAUGAGCUGGUGUCCGAUGCGGCUGGUGCGUCGCUCCUUCAACAGUUGGACGCGGUGGCUUGGUGGAUCGAGAAGUGCGGAAUUCCCGUAUCAGUCCGAGGCGACCAGACGGCCGUAACGCUACUUACUUCGUCUCGCGUAAGGCCCAUCGUAAGGGGGGUUAGCCUUUCGCUUCUUGUGCGCGCGUGCCCGAUUCCCGCGGAUUUAUUACUUCGCCUAGAGAGGAUUGACAUGUGCGGCGAAGCCUUCGCUUCUCUUCCAGCAGACCCAUCUCAAAUGGUUCAGCUGAGAGAGCUGCACGUUUCACGCUGCACAAGCGCCGCGCUUCUGCGGCUUUAUCAGUUGCCUAGCCUCACAACUCUCAGCAUCGAAUCUAAGAUUGGCGUGGAACCGGUCGGCAACGAAAAUGUUGCCGAGAACCCUCAGCAGAACCUCGGAGUAGACGAGAUUGAUAUGCAUUUGAUGACUUCUGCUCGCUCCCUGCAGCACCUUCGCUUAAGUAGCAGUGGCCUGUCCAUGGUGUCCGGCUUCGACUGUUGCGAAUCACUUGCUACCGUCACUGUAGUCAACUGUGAGCGACUGCUUUCUCUGUCGUCGCUAGCCCACGCCGUUCAUCUGAGGUCCAUCUCCAUCUCCUGGUCUGGCGUGCGUGACCUGGGAGCACUUGCCGCGUGUCCGUGCCUGGAACGGAUUACCUUUGAUACGUGCAGAGCGGUAGAGAGUUUGACUGCCCUGGCUGGCGCGCCGCGACUACGGGAAGUGGACGUGUUUUGCAGUGGAGUGCGCGACGUCAACGGGCUGGCAUCGUGCCCCUACCUCGAAACAUUAUGUGUGACAGCAUGCCGGUUUGUCACGGAUUUGUCCCCCUUAGCGGGUGCGCCACGCCUGCGAAUCAUUGAUGCCUCCUUCAGCGCUGUGAGUAAUCUUCAGGGUUUGGGCACAUGCCCCUCCCUGGAAGUUGUGCGGCUGGAUGCGUGCAUAGCAGUUCACAACUUGAAUCCGCUGGCUGAUGCACCAAGACUCAAGUAUGUGUUCGUCAGAGGGUUGGACCACGCAGCACUCUUAUACCCGUCGAGCUUGACGCCAAAGAUUUUUCCUGCCGCGGCAGGUUAAAGCCCGCAGUGAUGUGCAGCACCGCCGAUGUAGUCCAUAAUGGGAAGAUGGGCUCUCCGCCAGUUAUUGGAACCUUUGCAGAGCGAUUUCCAUAUCGCCCCCGUAUAGAUCAGAUGAGCUAAUUUUUCAUUAUUUUCGUGCUUUCUCUGGCGCGCUACCGAAUGCACCGCGUUACGUGUUGUGUACAAUCCUUCACGUCUGUUUCCUGAUGUAGUGUGCCUGAAAAGGCCGGCCCACCGAGCUGUCGGCUGCGAGAUGGCCGUCGUCGUUGCACAACAUGCGCUUUGCUCUUCUUUUCAUUGCUUUUCUGACUUCUAGUUGCCAUGUGUGCAGCAGGUGUACCUGACGAACCUUUGCGUCGGUGAGAGUGCACCGACUACGCGAUCCUUGCGCAAGUGCAUCAACACUUGCUACCUUUGAUUCACACUACACAAACUCACUCACACACAUGUCCGGGGAAAACCACUGUGCAUCUGCUUCAGCACAACAACGGGUAAUAAUGUGCCGUUCAUCACCUGCUUUCUCAGUGGAAACCCUGCACUGAUGACGAACACUCACUCCUCUUCUUUUUUCCUUCAACUAACAACGCAGCCCCACCCACAGAAGCUCUCCUCCCUUUAGGCUGGUUCGGUAAUCACCACCCCAGGGAGCCCCC